GCCUUGGUGGUGGAAUUGGUAGACACAAGGGAUUUAAAAUCCUCGGCGUUCGCGCUGUGCCGGUUCAAGUCCGGCCGGGGCACCA
rnacentral:tRNA from 1 species